CCCUCGAUAGCUCAGUUGGCAGAGUGGAGGACUGUAGAUGUUAGAACGGUGAUCCUUAGGUCGCUGGUUCAAAUCCGGCUCGAGGGA
rnacentral:tRNA from 1 species